rnacentral:rRNA from 1 species
AGAGUUUGAUCCUGGCUUAGAACUAACGCUGGCAGUGCGUCUUAAGCAUGCAAGUCAAACGGGAUGUAGCAAUACAUUCAGUGGCGAACGGGUGAGUAACGCGUGGAUGAUCUACCUAUGAGAUGGGGAUAACUAUUAGAAAUAGUAGCUAAUACCGAAUAAGGUCAGUUAAUUUGUUAAUUGAUGAAAGGAAGCCUUUAAAGCUUCGCUUGUAGAUGAGUCUGCGUCUUAUUAGCUAGUUGGUAGGGUAAAUGCCUACCAAGGCAAUGAUAAGUAACCGGCCUGAGAGGGUGAACGGUCACACUGGAACUGAGAUACGGUCCAGACUCCUACGGGAGGCAGCAGCUAAGAAUCUUCCGCAAUGGGCGAAAGCCUGACGGAGCGACACUGCGUGAAUGAAGAAGGUCGAAAGAUUGUAAAAUUCUUUUAUAAAUGAGGAAUAAGCUUUGUAGGAAAUGACAAAGUGAUGACGUUAAUUUAUGAAUAAGCCCCGGCUAAUUACGUGCCAGCAGCCGCGGUAAUACGUAAGGGGCGAGCGUUGUUCGGGAUUAUUG